UACGUAGGUGGCGAGCGUUGUCCGGAUUUACUGGGCGUAAAGGGCGUGCAGGCGGUCUGUUAAGUCUAGGGUGAAAGCUCCCGGCUCAACUGGGAGAGGUCCUUGGAUACUGGCGGACUUGAGGGAGGCAGAGGAAAGUAGAAUUCCCGGUGUAGUGGUGAUAUGCGUAGAUAUCGGGAGGAAUACCAGUGGCGAAGGCGGCUUUCUGGGCCUUACCUGACGCUGAGACGCGAAAGCGUGGGGAGCGAAC
rnacentral:rRNA from 1 species